ensembl:lncRNA
CCAAACUAAUGGAUUUCAAUCACCUUCUUCCUCAUCAUUUCUGGAAUUUCUUUCAACAUUGGCAUAGUGUGUCACUGGAUGGCGCUAUCGGUCAAAUUACACUAGUGUCCCGGGAGAGAGAGAGAGAGAGAGAGAGAGAGAGAGAGAGAGAGAGAGAGAGAGAGUGCGUUGCGCCACCGGAAGUUCAAAACGCUUGUUCGUCACGUGAUUCAUGUACACUUCAAGAAGUUAUUUGCGGGCUUUCUUAAACUUCUCGCGCUACACCACCAUGUCCCUUUAGGGGCGCCGUACCGCUACAGCCUGGCAGAGGGUAUAUAAACUGAGGUUUGAGUCCAGCGCGCGCAUAACGGUCGUCCCUGCUGAGAGGAUCUCCAGACAGCGAGUGAGUUUUCCUGAGUGUCCUGAUUCUUUACACCUCUUGUAGUGAAAUCCAGACGACGCUCUUCAGGAAAAUGUCCACAGACUCCUGCUGCUACUGGCUCAGAUGUCAAGUUUAGUCAUGUGUCUGAUUUCUCUUUUCAUUUUUAAACUCUGAGAACUUGUUGAUAAUUAAAUAACCAUUACAACACUAUAUACAACAAGCAGAACACUUCCCAGCAAACACACCACCCUCUGAUGAUGACAGUGAUGUCACCACGUCUUGGUAAAGUUGGCAUUUGAAUAUAAUAUGGGAAAUUUACUAAAUGUAUCAAACAUUUUACUUAAAUACAUGAAUCGAGGUCUGAAUUUGAAUUUUAUUAUCUUUUGAUGUUUGUCAUACAUCAAUGGCAAAUCUCUGCAGCAAAAUGGUAAUUUACAACACCCAACAACCAUUCUGCUUAGUAAAUGGUGAUUAUUCAUAAUAUUAUAUCUUUGUGAAUGAAAGAGAUUUUUAAAAUGCUGAUCUAAAGGGUCUGUAGUGUAUGAAUGGGUGUGUGAAUGUGUAUGUGAUUGUGCCCUGCGCUGGACUGACACCCUGUCCAGGGUGUACCCUGAAAAGGAGUAAGCGGUUGAAGAUGGAUGGAUGGACUAUCAAAAAGGCUUUAGGUGUGUUGUAUCAGUAUCAUUACUGUUGGGAAUCAGUCUAACUGUCCUGUUCAAACAGACAUAUUAAUGGGUCCGAGUUUGGGAAGCUCUGCCUGUUCUUUAGCACAGAAAUGAUAAAAUUGCAUAUGCAGCCCCCCAAAAAACUGCUGAAACACCACCGUCAAUUCUUUUGUUUGUGCUGUACACCAAAGACAUUUGGGAUUGAGAUCAAAACAUGAAUAUGAGACGAGAGAUUAAAGAUUUCAGCUUUUAUUUCCUGGUAUUUACGUCUAGACGUGUUAAACAACA